ensembl:snoRNA
GAUGUGGUUAAUGAUGCUCAACUUUUUUCCCCAUCUUAUCGACCAUGGUGAACACUGACUGAAACAAAGCCAGUUUUGUCUGAAACCACAAU